rnacentral:lncRNA from 1 species
GUCCGUGCGGUCCGUGCUUCGUUCGUCCGUGCCGUACCGUCCGUGCCGUCCGUGCCGUUCUUCUCCGUUUUAUGCUACAGCGUGUUCGGUCGACUUUGCUUGAAACAAAGUGACGAAUGACCGCCGCGUGCUCUCAUGCUCGGCGUGAGUUUGUAGAGCUGAGCGGCUUGAUAUGGCUUGAGCUUCUCGUGUUUCCGUCGGGCUGCCUGGACCUAGAUUUUUAAACAAAAGAUUAUGUCCUACGGAAGUUACUGCUGCGUGGUCUGGUGUGCCAACAAUGGGAAAACAAAGAAGCCACAUGUCAAGUUUUUUCGAAUUCCACGUGACCCAAGGUCAAAAGCAUGGCUACAGUACGCCAGACGUCCUGAGCUCCUAGGAAAGACAGCCAAGGAGCUCUAUGAGGGGUAUCGCCUGUGUAGUGAGCAUUUCACAGCCAAGGACUUUUUGGAUCCUGGGAAGACAAGGCUGACCAAAACGGCUAUCCCUACGGUUCGGCCGCAAAUGCUUAGGCCAUCUGUAACAGCCCAAGAAGAACCGGUGGCAACAACAUGCCCCUGUGACGUUCCAUUGGAGGGAAACAGAAUGUCGCAUCCCAC